rfam:Strongylocentrotus purpuratus Contig22192_fixed, whole genome shotgun sequence.
GGCAUGGUGGCUCAGUGGUUAGAGCGCCCGCCCCAUGAACGGAAGGUCGUGGGUUCGAACCCCGGCCGAGUCA